rnacentral:rRNA from 1 species
AACGAACGCUGGCGGCAUGCCUAUCACAUGCAAGUCGAACGAGACCUUCGGGUCUAGUGGCGCACGGGUGCGUAACGCGUGGGAACCUGCCCUUAGGUUCGGAAUAACUCCCCGAAAGGGGUGCUAAUACCGGAUAAUGUCUUCGGACCAAAGAUUUAUCGCCUUUGGAUGGGCCCGCGUUGGAUUAGCUAGUUGGUAGGGUAAAAGCCUACCAAGGCGACGAUCCAUAGCUGGUCUGAGAGGAUGAUCAGCCACACUGGGACUGAGACACGGCCCAGACUCCUACGGGAAGCAGCAGUGGGGAAUAUUGGACAAUGGGCGAAAGCCUGAUCCAGCAAUGCCGCGUGAGUGAUGAAGGCCUUAGGGUUGUAAAGCUCUUUUACCCGGGAUGAUAAUGACAGUACCGGGAGAAUAAGCGCCGGCUAACUCCGUG